GGUGGCCGCACCUGCCAAUCGAUACCUACCAAAAUUUAAAAAAGGAAGAGAUUUUAUAAAUGGCCUUGAACAAGAUGAGAAAAAUGUAUUAACGUACUUGACAUAAAUUUUUAUUUGGCUUCCUGUUCACCUACUCUCAACUUAACCAUUCUGGAACCUUGUUAAGUAAGAUCCUGCAGUGGACUGAAGUUCAGUGAGUUCAAGCCAUUACAGUCUCUCCAGGGAAUGCGCAGACCAGCUGCAGGCUCAACCUCCAAUCAGCUCUCCACAAGCAGCCCAGUGGAUCUUUUCAAAAGUAAAAGUCACCAACCUGCUUAAAAUCCAUCAUUGGCUUUCCCCAGUUCUUAAGUUGAGGAAAGCCUUUAAAUGGCUUACAAGGAUCUGCCAGGUCUGCCCCUGCUCACUACCCUAGCCUUAGAUUUCAGUCAUCCCUUACAGCAUUCUCUACACUCCAGUAACACUGGAUUUCUCUCUGUUCUUGAUGUGCCAUGCUUCCGUCUGCCACAGGGCCUUUGCACACUCUAUUCCCGCUGCACAUGUUAUUCCUUUCUCCCUCCCUUUGCUUAGUCAACUCCAAGUCCUCAUCCAGCUCUUGCCUCAAGUAUUAUUUCCUUGAGGCAAGAAAUGCCUCUUUGGCCUAAGUCUGGUUCAUUUGUGACAUAUUCUCUUGGAACUGCACUCCUUUCCUUCAGAGUAUUUAACUCACUUUAUAAUUACAUAUUCUUGGUGUAAUUAUUUGUUUAAAAAUAACGGUGGGUUUCUUUAUGAGGUGAUGACAGGAUGGUUGUACAACUUUGUGAAUAUGCUUGCAAAAAAUCCACUGAAUUGUACACUUUGAAUUAGUGAAUUGUAUGGUAUGUCAGUUAUAUCUUGACGUUGUUGUAAAAAAAAAAAAAGGGAAGGAUCCUGAAGAAUGGAGUCAGUGAGUAUCCUCUACUCUUGAGAAAUUUAGUAAACGAUCAAAACUUUUCAAUAGGACUGUUCAGAGAGCUAAGCACCUCCUUAGGAAGGUUUUUGAGAUGAGAGAGACAUGAGUAUAUCUGCAGGCAGAGGGGAGGAGCCAGAGAAGACUGCCUUUGAGGCUUUCAGAAGGUAAGACUUUCAUACAAAUAACAUACAGGAGAACAAAUACCUAAUGGAUUUCUUCUGUAGUGACAUGAGCCUUCUAAAGAAUAAGUAGGCUGGAACACAUUUCCCAGCUGAUGUGCA